rnacentral:lncRNA from 1 species
GUUUUCCGAUUGAAGAUGAGCCAGUACAACACCCAGAGCCAAAUCCCAGGUAAUGAUCAAAUCCACCCUCGAUCUGUUUCGACCCUCCCACCCUUUUGAUGUCGAUUCUCUCUCUAUCUCUCUCUCUAGUUUUUGCCGAUCUGAUCUUGGUCAAAAUCGUUUCUCCUGCUCCUCUUCUCAAUGCAUUGGUGUUCUGCAAAUCGAGCGGGUUUAUAUGGACUUAGGAUUUGCAGAAUUCGCACGUUGGUCGUAAUUAGGGUCGAGCAAGAGCUCCAAAGUCGGAUAGUGGUCGGUGGACGAUUGUGACAGUAGUGGUUCAGGAAUCCGUUUGUUCAUCUGUUGUUGUUUUUAGACUUGACAAAGAAAUCGAUCUAGCUCUCCUUCUUUCGGGUUAGAACUUGUGUUUUUCUUGGGAGGAGCCGCCGGCGGUCUUCCAGGGGGCCUGGUGGAGGCGGCUGUGGCUGCUGGCCCCACCACCGAAGUUCAAACAACCUUUUCAAACUAUUGAGCUUGAAUUAUGUGCUCUUGGGUAUUCAUAUAUCGAUGACUUGUGAUGACAAUAUGCAAUAUUCUGUGCAGAGGCGUACCCACCACCGGCAUCAGCACCUGUGUACGUGGCGCCACCACCGCUCGGCUAUCCCGCGAGGGACGCCCAACAGCCAGUGCAGAACACCGUCCCUAUCGAGACCAAGACUAGGGGCGACGGCUUCUGGAAGGGCUGGUAAGUGAUUAUCUCGCAAUGCAGCCCCUCCUUUGCUUCUGCAUAUUUAUACACAUUCGCUUGUCCUAAUUGCGCUCCUUCUUGUCUUCACCAGCUGCGCUGCGAUCUGCUGUUGCUGCGUCCUGGAUGCCUGCUUCUAGGAAUUCCCAGGAGAGGAUCGCCUUCCGCUUGAUUCGUUGAUCUUUGUGUUUAGCAUUCGAUUCUACAGAUCUUCUUUUGUCAUUCUUGAGAUAAAUGGGACAUGUUGUAGUCAUCAUAUACCUUUAUUAUUGCUGUGAUAUAUACUAGCGUUCUUGGGUUUUUCUUGCAUCUUUUAUGUCACACUUCAACCCCGAGUUUCCCUUCUCUUUCUCAUCCACGAAGCGAGUCCAAGAUGAAUUUAAGAUUGAGAUCCAAGCUACAUGCGAAAGUAGACGUACCUAUUCUUAUUAACAAGACAUUUGGGUAGCUCAUCGCUUUAGAGAGGUGAACAUAAUUAUAGAUUGGGCGCAAAAGCCUAAACAAGAAAAUCCUUGUCACGAAAUAGAAUCUCAUUUCCCCUCCCUUUGGAGUCCUAUUGAACCGACUUGGUGGGCCUUGAC